rnacentral:rRNA from 1 species
CCUGCCAGAGGCUACUGCUAUCGGGGUCCGACUAAGCCAUGCGAGUUGAGAGGGGUAAGCCCUCGGCAUAUUGCUCAGUAACACGCGGAUAACCUGCCCUUGGGUUUGGGAUAACCCCGGGAAACUGGGACUAAUACCGGAUAGAUCAAAGAAACUGGAAUGUUCUCUGAUCGAAAGCUCCGGCGCCCAAGGAUGGGUCUGCGGCCUAUCAGGUAGUAGUGGGUGUAACGUACCUACUAGCCUACGACGGGUAAGGGUUGUGAGAGCAAGAGCCCUGAGAUGGAUUCUGAGACAUGAAUCCAGGCCCUACGGGGUGCAGCAGGCGCGAAAACUUUACACUGCGGGAAACCGCGAUAAGGGGACCCCGAGUGCCAGCACCUAGUGCUGGCUGUCCAGCUGUUCAAAUAACAGUUGUUAGCAAGGGCCGGGCAAGACCGGUGCCAGCCGCCGCGGUAACACCGGCGGCCCGAGUGGUAGCCGUUAUUAUUGGGUUUAAAGGGUCCGUAGCCGGCCUAUUAAGUCUCUUGGGAAAUCUGGCGACUCAAUCGUCAGGCGUUCAAGAGAUACUGGUAGGCUUGGGACCGGGAGAGGUGGGAGGUACUCCAGGGGUAGGGGUGAAAUCUCGUAAUCCUUGGGGGACCACCGAUGGCGAAGGCAUCCCACCAGAACGGGUCCGACGGUGAGGGACGAAAGCUGGGGGCACGAACCGGAUUAGAUACCCGGGUAGUCCCAGCCGUAAACGAUGCUCGCUAGGUGUCAGGUGCGGUGCGACCGCAUCUGGUGCCGCAGUGAAAACUUGAAGCGAGUCACCUGGGAAGUACGGUCGCAAGGCUGAAACUUAAAGGAAUUGGCGGGGGAGCACUACAACGGGUGGAGCCUGCGGUUCAAUUGGAUUCAACGCCGG